CUCUCUCCAUUGCAGAGGAAUAACAACUAGUUAAAAACAGUAAACCUAACCCUAGAAAUCUCUCUCUACACACACACACACACACACACACACUCUCUCUCUCUCUCUCUCUCUCUCAACCCUAAUUCUUUCAAAAUCAGGGUUACUGAAGACUAGGGUUUUUAGAUGUGAGAUUGUUCGGAUCCAUCAUGGCUGAUCUUCCCAGCGACGCAGCGGCAGCAGUGAGGGCUUCUCCCUGGCAGUGCUGAACAAUGGUAGUAUGGAUGCGCCGAAGCUGAUGGUGUCGGGAUCGUUCAAGGGGUCAAGGAGGUAGACAUCGGUCCGGCCGAGCCUCGACGUGGAUGAGUUCAUAAAUCUGCUGCACAGGUCAGAUCCGGUCAAGGUGGAGUUGAAUCAAUUGGAGAAUGAAGUCAUAGAUAAGGAUCGGGAGUUGGGGGAAGCGCAGGCGGAGAUCAAGGCAUUAAGGUUAUCAGAACGUUUGAGAGAGAAGGCGAUCGAAGAGGUAUUAAUUUUAAUUUAUUUAUUUUGGGAUUUUCUAUAUUUGGCUAUCAGGCGUUUUAUUUUGAUUUAAAAUCUGGUUUCAAUUUUAGAUUUAUAUGUAAUAGUGUAUUACAUUGUGUUUUUGGAUUUUCAGUAGUUGGCAUUUUAUUUUUUUAUAUGAGGUCUGCCAUCUCGUGCACAAUAUGAAAGGCGGAUGUUGAUGCAGCAGUAGUUAAAGUAGUCAUGGCUAGAGCUGGGGUGAAAAUGGUAGUAAAGUGGAACAACUCUCAUCCUUGGAGAUGGACUCUAUAACUUCAUCAAAGUACUGUCUUUCACCAUCAGAAGCUUCCAUGGUAGAUUGAAAUUGAAGGACCCUCAGAACAGGCGGUUAUUUGGACAGUAGCAGUUGCAACUCUCGUCUGUUUUUCAUCUGAGACAAACAUCUCAAUUAUGGUGUAUAGUCAUUUUUUACUGAAUCUAAGCGAAUUGUUUGAUCCCCAGCUAUGACAGAUCUUAGUGCCAACGUUGGGCAGGCAGGCCAACACAACCGUCAGUAAAUCCCGCAUUGAAGAGGCAGUUGGCACAACCGUCAGUAAAUCCUACAAAAGG